rnacentral:sRNA from 2 species
CACUGGACUAGUAAGUAUACCUCUGUCCCUCUUAUUGAAGCAGAGAAUGCACGGAGGAUACAUACAUACAUACAUACAUACAUAGCGGAGAAUUCGUCACGAAUCGCGAUGGAGAAAUAAAUCUCUGUAUGUCCCGGCUCCGGUGCCUGGCCGUACCCGGAGAGGUUAUAUUUAACUCUAACUGUAGGGUAACCGUUAGGCUUUUAUUUUUUUUAUUUUUUUAAGGGCUUGUUUGUUGCCUGGCGCCCAACGCAAUGCAAUUUUAUAGAGAGAUGGAUACUAUAUACAUAUACAUAUCUAUAUACAGUAACUACAACGAUCGAUGGUUAGGCAGGCGGGUUUUUUCUUUACUAGCUCUCAAAUUUCAGCGAUAAGCAAACCUAUCAGGUUUAUGUUAGGCAGGCAGUUCGGGAUCGGUACAAGUAACUACU